rnacentral:rRNA from 1 species
UACGAAGGGUGCAAGCGUUACUCGGAAUUACUGGGCGUAAAGCGUGCGUAGGUGGUUCGUUAAGUCUGAUGUGAAAGCCCUGGGCUCAACCUGGGAAUGGCAUUGGAAACUGGCGACCUAGAGUGCGGUAGAGGGUAGUGGAACUCCCGGUGUAGCAGUGAAAUGCGUAGAGAUCGGGAGGAACAUCCGUGGCGAAGGCGACUACCUGGACCAGCACUGACACUGAGGCACGAAAGCGUGGGGAGCAAACAGG